rnacentral:ncRNA from 1 species
AAUCUGGUUGAUCCUGCCAGUAGUCAUAUGCUUGUCUUAAAGACUAAGCCAUGCAUGUCUAAGUAUAAGUUAUACUACAGCGAAACUGCGAAUGGCUCAUUAAAACACGUUAUAGUUUAUUCGUAUUAUUUUCUUCUACAUGGAUAACCGUAGUAAUUCUAGAGCUAAUACAUGCUGUUCAAACCUCGACUUUUCGGAAGGGUUGUAUUUAUUAGAUAUUAAACUAACCCUUGGCAACAGGAAUAGUGAUGAUACCAUAAUAACUGAGCGGACCGCGGCCUCGCCGCGGCGAAUCGUUCAAGUUUCUGCCCUAUCAGCUUUCGAUGG